rnacentral:rRNA from 1 species
CAUGGCUCAGGACGAACGCUGGCGGCGUGCCUAACGCAUGCAAGUCGAGCGAGGGAUCUCGCAAGGGAUCUCGAGCGGCGAACGGGUGAGUAACACGUGGGUAAUCUGCCUAUGAGACGGGGAUAGCCCCGGGAAACUGGGGUUAAUACCGGAUGUGAUCCUCUGAGCGCAUGCUUGGGGGAGGAAAGGGUGCAAACCGCUCAUAGAUGAGCCCGCGGCCCAUUAGCUAGUUGGCAGGGUAAAAGCCUACCAAGGCGACGAUGGGUAGCCGGUCUGAGAGGAUGGCCGGCCACGCUGGGACUGAGACAUGGCCCAGACUCCUACGGGAGGCAGCAGCAAGGAAUUUUGGGCAAUGGGGGAAACCCUGACCCAGCGACGCCGCGUGAGCGAAGAAGGCCUUCGGGUCGUAAAGCUCUGUCUUUGGGACGAAUGGGACGGUACCCAAAGAGGAAGCCCCGGCUAACUACGUGCCAGCAGCCGCGGUAAUACGUAGGGGGCUAGCGUUGUCCGGAAUUAUUGGGCAUAAAGGGCGAGUAGGCGGCUUUGCAGGUCGGGUGUGAAAAACUGAGGCUCAACCUCGGGAUUGCAUCCGAAACCGCAGGGCUUGAGGUCAGAAGAGGAGAGCGGAAUUCCAGGUGUAGCGGUGAAAUGCGUAGAUAUCGGGAGGAACACCAGUGGCGAAGGCGGCUCUCUGGUCUGCACCUGACGCUGAGUCGCGAAAGCUAGGGGAGCAAACGGGAUUAGAUACCCCGGUAGUCCUAGCCGUAAACGAUGGUUACUAGGUGUGGGAGGUAUCGACCCCUUCCGUGCCGGAGCUAACGCACUAAGUAACCCGCCUGGGGAGUACGGCCGCAAGGUUGAAACUCAAAUGAAUUGACGG